GCCUAACACAUGCAAGUCGAACGGAGUUUAAUUAGAAUGAGGCUUCGGCCAAUUCUUUUAACUUAGUGGCGGACGGGUGAGUAACGCGUGAGUAACCUGCCGUUCAGAGGGGGAUAACGUUCCGAAAGGAACGCUAAUACCGCAUAACGUAUUUUUACCGCAUGAUAGAAAUACCAAAGAUUUAUCGCUGAAAGAUGGACUCGCGUCUGAUUAGCUAGUUGGAGGGGUAACGGCCCACCAAGGCGACGAUCAGUAGCCGAACUGAGAGGUUGAUCGGCCACAUUGGGACUGAGACACGGCCCAGACUCCUACGGGAGGCAGCAGUAGGGAAUAUUGCACAAUGGAGGAAACUCUGAUGCAGCCAUGCCGCGUGUGUGAAGAAGGCCUUCGGGUUGUAAAGCACUUUCAGAGGGGAGGAGAAUGACGUUACCCUCAGAAGAAGCACCGGCUAACUCCGUG
rnacentral:rRNA from 1 species